AAUUAUAAUGUACAUAAGAAAAUUUCUGUUUCGAACAGUUCUGAGAAAAAUUGUGAAAGGCAAUACAUAUCGGUUCAUUGAGAAAGCAAAGGAGAGAUGAAGUUAUCAUUUGGUUCUUAUCAUUGGCAGUUUGCGUCAGGCCAGGGUCAAAGUCGGUGAUCUCGAACAAUAAAUCAUAUUUUAUCGUACGAAAACGUAAAUUAUUCGCGCGCUUAUUCUUACAAUGACCUGCGCAAUCGUUUAAUAAUUAAUUUUAAAAAACUACACUUACAACUGAGCAGUAAUACCAAAUUAAUUGUUAAAUUACUGAAAACUUUUGCCUACACGGAACUAGUGACUUUUUAUUUUAGAACAGUUGAUGCACUUGAAGUGUGAUAUAAAGACAACUUCAGGACUUACGAACAGUUUUACAGCGCGUCUAACGCUUCAAUCUUUCUUAUUUAUAUAAUUAUAAAUAGUUUUGAAUAAAAAAUAAGAGAAUAAUUUAUUUGAAUCAUUAUUGAUUCCAAUAUUGUAUCAAUCAAGGACCAUUAAUGUUUUCUAUGGCAAUGCGUGCGUAUUCUAUCUGUAAAAGAAAUGCAUCCUGCUUAUUUUUACAACUGUUAACCGGAUUGACCACUGAAAAGGGUCUUUUUUUUUCUGAUGAAAGUCUCGAGAUAGUGACGGACGUGAAGUAAAGACUGCAAGUUUGCGUUUCAUUGAAGAACAUCAGACUAGACGAGAAUCUAGAUUAUGGAUAUAUUGAGGAUGAUCGGAAAUAGUGUUGUCUGAUGAAAUACAUCUCCAACUUACAACAAAUUUCACAUCUCGUCCGAUGUGAGCGACGGUUGAUUCAAGGCACGUGGGAAGAUUAAACGCGUGCAUUCUCAUCACAAUACUACUAGAAAGAAGAAAUAAUUGAAGAUCGGAUCAUUAUAUCGGAGAGAGGAGACGUUAACACUGAAGGGUGCGGAUCUUUUGGAAACAUCGUGACAUUGAAGGAAGUGAUUUACUGAAUUUGAGGAUAUAUUCAAAAGAUCAAUAAUAAUAAAAAAAAAAUGAAAAAAAGAAUUUAAGUAUCAUCAACAUCAGGACACCCAAAGUGCAUAUAUUUAUUCGCGCAAAUGUAUUAAUUUUAAUAGGGGAUCACCUUUUUUAUAAUACACACACGCGGCAUUUACGUCAUCGUCCACUCCGAGAUUCCAAGGUUUUAUUACUUCUGAUGACACCCCGUUAUCGCCUGCGUUAUAUAUAUAAUAUAAUACCACCCAUAUGGGACGGCAUUUUAAGUUUCGCUCUUCGUUAUAUUCGACAAGAUAUCGUUGCGUGCGUCAAUUUCAAUUAAGAAACUGACCGCCCUGCUAAAUAGUUUCCUUUCGAAAGGAUCAGAUUUAGGUCCCGAAUGACGUCAUAAUAUUUCGAGGAACCAACGAGAGAAAGAGAGGAGAAAGAGAGAGAGAGAAAGAGAUUUGUGUAAAAGAUGAGAAGAUAAAGAUCGUAGAUCUUUUUUGAAAUCGGUUUAGAUAUAAUUGAAUGCAUUAAAUACUAAUUCUUUAUCUAUGUGUGUGUGUAAUACACCUUGACAUAAUUUAUGAACUUUUUUUUUAUAUUUAAUAUAUGUUUAUAGAGUUUUUUUUCAGUAAUCCUAAAGACGUCAAUGGAAAUAGAUAAAUGAUAAAUUAUUUUACAUUAUCAAGAAUUGUCAAAAUUUGAAGGAUAAGAAAAAGGAUAAUGAAAAAAUAGUAUUUGUUUCCUGAGGACAAUAUUGUGUGUGUCUUUUUUUUUUAUCAUCUUCGCAUAAAUAUUUUUCAAGGUUUAAUAACAUCUUUAUGUCAUUAUAAUGACAACUUAAGCGCGCGCAGGUGAAUGUACUUUAGAGAGGUCAAAACAAUUCGAUAGAGAGGUUUAAUUUAUCGCACGUUUCACGCAUUCCUAAUGAGAAUUUAUAAUACAUACUUCCGAAUGAAAUUCCACAUCGAUAUCAUCACUAUUAUAAUGAAACAAAAACUGACCACAGACUGAAUGAAAUAGAUUUUAUAUUUCGAUAAAGAAGAAUUUGCCUUCAAUAAAUAAUAAUACAGAAAGGAGAUUUUUUUGGAUAAAGAAAAAAAAAAAAAAAAACGAAUAUUAGGGAAUGAAUUUCCCAAAAGUGUAAUCGUGAGAGGAUACAUCUUUUAAAAAUGUUGGUUUUCGUCUGGCAAUUACUGCGAGCAUAUACCAGCCAGACGAUUUUCUGAGAAGACGGGAAACGAUUUCACGUCGAGUAAAAUUUUCUUGGCAAUAAGAGUAGCCAAUUGCGUUGCGUAAGGCAAAACAUGGGUCCGUGGUCCACACGCCGGUAUUUUAUGCUCUUUUGCCAAAACAUUUAUCAUCGCAAAAACCCUUUUUUCUUUUUUUUCUUUCAAAAAAUGAUUUCAAAAUCAUAUAUUUAUUUUAUAUUAAUUUUUAUAUGAAAACAUUUUUUAUUUUAUUCAUUUUUAAAUAAAAUUUAUUUAAAGCAAAUAAUAUAUUAGAGUCUAUAAUAAUUUUUUAUUUAUAUUUUAAAUAAAAAAUAGAUUUUAAUUGAAGUUUAAACUGUUGAAAAAUAAUGACCAAAAUAUAAGUUAGAGAAAAGAGAAAGGAAAAAAAAAAGUGAUCAAGAAUAAGACAUAGUCUGCACGAGCAUCAAUGAUGAGAUUGCAUAUAUGAAUCGUUUUAAAUGCAUUCAGUGGUGCAUACGUGAUUAAUAUCACGUCAACAUUUUAAUACAGCCUCACAAAGAGUACAUUUAAAUGAGAGUAUACGCGUAAAAUUUAGUAUAACAGCCUUCACGUGCCAUAGGACACAAAACCGUCUGACGUAAACCAGUUUCAUCCAUUCAUUGAAUCAGAUUUUCGCAAAUAUGGAUAACGUUUUAUGUAUAAUUAAUGUUCGCGCAAUUAUUUAUAUGCUGUCCGAAUGAGCUAUUAAGUUCACCUUCAGACCACCCAUGAGAAUAUUUAAUCCUCUGGAGCAUUUUAUUAAGAGAGCGAGAGAGAGAGAGAGGAGAGAAAAUUAUUUAGUCGUAUAUACAUUUGGUUCGUCAUCAUCAUCAUCGUGUGUGAGGCGUGCGAGACUGAUUGGUCUCGGUACGCGGCUCGGGCGCGUGCAACGAUAAGGUCGCUUAGGGCAGACAGCGCGACGCCGUUUAUUUGCGUCUCGACGGCCAACACACAGGUGUUUGAAUCCAGCGUUUAUACUGAUUCGAGAACUGAAAAAGCCUAACCAUUUUCUUUUCUAUUUUUUUUUCCUAAAAUAAAAAUCAUCUUUUGUUAAAAUCACGAAAUUAUAAUUCAUUUCUUACUUAAAAUCUUUUAUAAAAUUAUAUUUGAAAUUAUAUAAAGUAAAAAAUUAGUAUAAAAAUGUUUAAAAAAAAAAAAAAUUAUUGUUUAUUCAAAAAAAAAAAUGUAAUAAUUUUCUCUCUCUCUCUCUCUCUUUCUUUUAACAAAAAGAAUGAGAAAAUUAUGAAUCAGAGACAUAAUUUACAAGGUCUAGACUCGCGGAUGAUACACAAAACUUUUAUGCACAUAUUUUAUUAGACUAUUUUAUAUUAUACGGGGAAUGAAAAUUUUUAUCGACAAACACUUCAAUUUCAGAUUUCGGCAAAUAUAAUAAUUAUUUUCGUUUAUGCGUUAGCAAUAUAAAUUUAUAGAGAUUUUUAAAAUUAUAUGUAUUUUCAAUAAGAAUUAUAGUUGUUUGUGAAAACAGCAAGAUUUUUUUUUUAUAUAUAUUUUC